CAGCAGCCGCGGUAAUACGAAGGGGGCUAGCGUUGCUCGGAAUCACUGGGCGUAAAGGGUGCGUAGGCGGGUCUUUAAGCCAGGGGUGAAAUCCUGGAGCUCAACUCUGGAACUGCCUUUGAUACUGGGUAUCUUGAGUAUGGAAGAGGUGAGUGGAAUUCCGAGUGUAGAGGUGAAAUUCGUAGAUAUUCGGAGGAACACCAGUGGCGAAGGCGGCUCACUGGUCCAUUACUGACGCUGAGGUGCGAAAGCGUGGGGAGCAAACAGGAUUAGAUACCCGCGUAGUCCCUGUCUCUUAUAC
rnacentral:rRNA from 1 species